rnacentral:rRNA from 1 species
AUUGAACGCUGGCGGCAGGCCUAACACAUGCAAGUCGAACGAGUGGCGGACGGGUGGGUACUGUCUGGGAAACUGCCUGAUGGAGGGGGAUAACUACUGGAAACGGUAGCUACUACCGCAUACCAUCGGAUGUGCCCAGAUGGGAUUAGCUAGUAGGUGGGGUAAAGGCUCACCUAGGCGACGAUCCCUAGCUGGUCUGAGAGGAUGACCAGCCACACGGGAACGGAGACACGGUCCAGACUCAUACGGGAGGCAGCAGUGGGGAAUAUUGCACAAUGGGCGCAAGCCUGAUGCAGCCAUGCCGCGUGUAUGAAGAAGGCCGUCGGGUUGUAAAGUACUUUCAGCGGGGAGGCGUUACCCGCAGAAGAAGCACCGGCUAACUCCGUGCCAGCAGCCGCGGUAAUAC